AAAAUGCACUUAAUGUCUUCCGCUAGAUGGACCACUCCUGGGUGAAGAUAAGAACAACAGAAACUUUUGAAAAGGAGAAUUUUAAGUGACCUCCCGUCUCUCCAAAUAUUUAUCCUGAGAGCUAUCAAAGGCAAACAAGGCGAAGCACUAGUUGCAAAGAGUUGGACACGACUGAGCAACUGAACAACAUAUACGAAGAAAGUCCACUGUGAACUGAACUUGUAAACUGUCCAGUGUGAACUGAACUUGAAUCCCUGAAAAGAAGGCUGGAGACAUUUUUACAGAUGGGUGAAUGCAAGUUCCUCUUGAGUCUCUGUGACCUAGGAGAAGAAAUCCAUCUCCUGCAUGAGCUGAAGAGAAAUCUGCGCAGGAGUUGUGAACAUUUUGGAUGAUGGAAGUGGAAGACAAAAAUGCACACACUCUGAGGGAUAAAUCUUCAACAAACUCUAAAAAUAUAUGUGAAUGUUCAGUCAAUUUAUGAUUAUAUAUUUUCUAGAGUUUUCUCUCAACAAAUUUGGCCAAUUACAAAUUAUUAAACACUCUAAAUGUGUAUUUAGAAAAUAAAGGCAUUCUGCAGCUUCCAUCUAUAUGAUUCCAUCGCCAUGACCCUUAGAUAUUCAGUAUUUACUAGGCUGGUACAAACUUUCCAAAUGCAUUUGUCC
rnacentral:lncRNA from 1 species